UACGUAGGGUGCGAGCGUUAAUCGGAAUUACUGGGCGUAAAGCGUGCGCAGGCGGUUCGUUAAGUCAGCUGUGAAAGCCCCGGGCUCAACCUGGGAAUUGCGGUUGAAACUGGCGAACUAGAAUCUGGCAGAGGGGGGUGGAAUUCCGCGUGUAGCAGUGAAAUGCGUAGAGAUGCGGAGGAACACCGAUGGCGAAGGCAGCCCCCUGGGCCAACACUGACGCUCAGGCACGAAAGCGUGGGGAGCAAACAGG
rnacentral:rRNA from 1 species